CGGGUGAGUAACACGUAUGCAACCUGCCUGCCACAGCCGGAUAAUCGGGAGAAAUUCCGUCUAAUACGGCAUAAUGCAUCGACGGGACAUCCUGUUGGUGCCAAAGGUUGAUUCCGGUGGCGGAUGGGCAUGCGUCGCAUUAGUUAGUUGGCGGUGUAACGGCCCACCGAGGCGACGAUGCGUAGGGGUUCUGAGAGGAAGGUCCCCCACACUGGUACUGAGACACGGACCAGACUCCUACGGGAGGCAGCAG
rnacentral:rRNA from 1 species